GACAGAGGGUGCAAACGUUGUUCGGAAUUACUGGGCGUAAGGCGCGUGUAGGCGGCUUGGCAAGUCGGGUGUGAAAGCCCUGGGCUUAACCUAGGAAGUGCACUCGAAACUGCCGAGCUUGAGUUCUGGAGAGGAAGGCGGAAUUCUCGGUGUAGAGGUGAAAUUCGUAGAUAUCGAGAGGAACACCGGUGGCGAAGGCGGCCUUCUGGACAGCAACUGACGCUGAGACGCGAAAGCGUGGGGAGCAAACAGG
rnacentral:rRNA from 1 species